rnacentral:rRNA from 1 species
AUAUCAAUAAGCGGAGGAAAAGAAACUAACAAGGAUUCCCCUAGUAACUGCGAGUGAAGCGGGAACAGCUCAAAUUUGAAAUCUGGCGGCUCCGCCGUCCGAGUUGUAAUCUGGAGAAGCGUCUUCCGUGCYGGACCGUGUACAAGUCCCUUGGAACAGGGCGUCAUAGAGGGUGAGAAUCCCGUCUUUGACACGGACUCCCGGUGCUCUGCGAUGCGCUCUCGAAGAGUCGAGUUGUUUGGGAAUGCAGCUCAAAAUGGGUGGUAAAUUCCAUCUAAAGCUAAAUAUUGGCGAGAGACCGAUAGCGAACAAGUACCGUGAGGGAAAGAUGAAAAGCACUUUGGAAAGAGAGUAAAACAGUACGUGAAAUUGUUGAAAGGGAAACGCUUGGAGUCAGUCGCGUCUUCCGGAACUCAGCCUUGCUUCUGCUCGGCGCACUUUCCGGUUUGACGGGCCAGCAUCGGCUCUGGGGGACGGACAAAGGCGUGGGGAAGGUGGCAGCUCCGGCUGUGUUAUAGCCCCUGCGUUGUNCGCGCCCUCCGGGACCGAGGAAUCCGGCGCUCGCCGCCCGGGAUGCUGGCGUAAUGGCUUUAAGCGACCCGUCUUGAAACACGGACCA